UGGAGAGUUUGAUCCUGGCUCAGGACGAACGCUGGCGGCGUGCCUAAUACAUGCAAGUAGAACGCACAGGAUGCACCGUAGUUUACUACACCGUAUUCUGUGAGUUGCGAACGGGUGAGUAACGCGUAGGUAACCUGCCUGGUAGCGGGGGAUAACUAUUGGAAACGAUAGCUAAUACCGCAUAAGAACAUUUACUGCAUGGUAGAUGUUUAAAAGGUGCAAAUGCAUCACUACCAGAUGGACCUGCGUUGUAUUAGCUAGUAGGUGAGGUAACGGCUCACCUAGGCGACGAUACAUAGCCGACCUGAGAGGGUGAUCGGCCACACUGGGACUGAGACACGGCCCAGACUCCUACGGGAGGCAGCAGUAGGGAAUCUUCGGCAAUGGGGGGAACCCUGACCGAGCAACGCCGCGUGAGUGAAGAAGGUUUUCGGAUCGUAAAGCUCUGUUGUUAAGGAAGAACGAGUGUGAGAAUGGAAAGUUCAUACUGUGACGGUACUUAACCAGAAAGGGACGGCUAACUACGUGCCAGCAGCCGCGGUA
rnacentral:rRNA from 1 species